rnacentral:rRNA from 1 species
AGAAUCAACGCUGGCGGCGUGCCUAACACAUGCAAGUCGAACGCGAAAACCCCGAAAGGGGUGAGUAGAGUGGCAAACGGGUGAGUAACGCGUGGGUGACCUGCCUUCGAGCGGGGGAUAACGUUCCGAAAAGGACGCUAAUACCGCAUAACAUCCUGCCUUUGAACAGGUGGAGAUCAAAGCUGGGGAUUCGCAAGAACCCGGCACUUGAAGAGGGGCUCGCGUCUGAUUAGCUAGUUGGUGAGGUAACGGCUCACCAAGGCAACGAUCAGUA